AUUGAACGCUGGCGGCAGGCCUAACACAUGCAAGUCGAACGAGUGGCGGACGGGGGAGUAAUUUCGGGGAAACUGCCUAAUGGAGGGAGAUAACUACUGGAAACCGUAGAUAAUCCCGCAUACAGUCGUAUCGGCCCAGGUGGGAUUAGCUAGUAGGUGGGGUAAAGGCUCACCUAGGCGACGAUCCCUAGCUGGUCUGAGAGGGUGACCAGCCACACUGGGACUGAGACACGGUCCAGACUCCUACGGGAGGCAGCAGUGGGGAAUAUUGGACAAUGGGCGCAAGCCUGAUGCAGCCAUGCCGCGUGUAUGAAGAAGGUCUUCGGGUCGUAAAGUACUUUCAGCGGGGAGGCGGUACCCGCACAAGAAGCAACGGCUAACUCCGUGCCAGCAGCCGCGGUAAUUC
rnacentral:rRNA from 1 species